GAUCAUGGCUCAGGAUGAACGCUGGCGGCGUGCUUAACACAUGCAAGUCGAGCGAAGCACUCUGCUUUGAUUCUUUUCGGGAUGAAGAGCAUUGUGACUGAGCGGCGGACGGGUGAGUAACGCGUGGGUAACCUGCCUCAUACAGGGGGAUAACAGUUAGAAAUGGCUGCUAAUACCGCAUAAGACCACAGCACCGCAUGGUGCAGGGGUAAAAACUCCGGUGGU
rnacentral:rRNA from 1 species